rnacentral:rRNA from 1 species
AUGGGGUGCGCCGCUGGCGUCCGGCUCCGGAGCUCGAGCAGGCUGAUCUCCGCAGAGGCAGAGGAUGGGAUGGUGUUCUGCGCUCGAGACGAGGGGGCUCGAGUAAGGGGAUUGGAGGGUGGCGCCGACGGGCUCGCGGAUGGGGAUGUAGAGGGAGGGUGCCAGCAAGAUCGAGGCCGGGGAUGGAGAGGGCAGGGGUCGGCGAGCUGGAGGUUGAGGAUGGGAAGAGGCGGAGCUGCCGACGGCCAUGAGUGGAGGAGGGCACGCAACUCCUCUCGCCAUGAAGGGCUGGUUCUACUACUAGAUGUCGGCCCGUCGAUGCACUGGGAGCUGCAGGAAGUCCAGAAUGUCUGCACCACCCUUGUGCACAAGAAGGCAAGCAACACGAGGAGCGGCGAUGGCCGCUGCCUGAGCCUGGCGUUCUUUUUGUUGAGAAUCCCUGAGCCCGGUGGUGUCAUUGUAUAUGGACAAGUCUGCGUAAGGACUACCAACCUAGGGAACUAUAAAUAUUCCAAUUUGCCAAACUAUUUUAAUAGACCAGCAAUGUUGUUCAGAGACUUUGGUCCUCCUCCACAGCGGGAUGCGACCUCCCUGGAGCAGUGGGUCACGCGCAUCGUCGGAGGGGGAGAAGAUCUUGUUAUCUACAUCAACGUGUUUCAGGCAGAAACAGUUUCCAAGCACAUGUUUAUUUAUUUUGCCGCUACUCACGUCAACCCCAAGAAGUCCAUCUAUGUGUGCAUGGGUGAUACAGAUAGUGUGGAGAAGGAAUCAUGUGCGAGAUCACUGGUCAAUCUGGUCCACAACAUCAAAUGCCGACGUCCAUGGUGCAAGGCAGUGCUUUUCAGAGCAAGCAACCUAGCAACUGCAUCGGUGAUCAAUGAUGUCAUCAACCUCCUAGACUAUGUCCCAGGUCCGACCGUUAUUCUGGUUCCCGUGCACUGUGAUCCAUACCAUCCAUGGACGUGA